AUUCAACUGAGUCGACUUACCUGUUAUAGGAUGCGGGUGGCAAAAGACCGGUGCUCUCAUUAACCUCAGAACUUUCUACAUUGUGGGAAUUCCAACUGUUGUUCUCUUGGCUCUCGUCUUCCAUUUUGGAGGAAAGGGUUUUCCGAAAUAUCUGCUGAUUUAUCGGAGGCAGCAGUAGCUCACUGCCAAUUAAUUGUCAUUUACAAGUAAGUUGCCCACAUCCAUAUUGUCACACAUUUCUUCUCUUCAUACAUGGUGCUGGAGGACCACACUAUCACUACAACAAAAGCAGGUAGAGCUGACGCUUUGGGGGGCUAGUUUUCCAGCGCUAACUAAAAUCAGGCGCCGGAUAACGAUCCCAUAUAAAUACCCCUCUAAAAAGCCCUAACCCUCAUUUUCUUAACCAUGUAAUGUCUAUAAAUCAAUCUAUACAGCUGUAUUCCUGAUCAUGUUAUGUUUUCUCAGGUUCUUCUAGUGGUUCUGCUGCUGUGGUCUCUGCAGGGCAGUCCUGUUGCUCUUGGUGUUGACGGAGGAGCUUUUGGAAGUCCUCAAGUGGAGAUAUGACCAAUCUAUAAUGUCGUGGAGUUUUGUGUGAAUCUAUUACUAAUGAGCAUGUAACUGUCUAUUUAUAGUUGCAUGGCUUCUCUAUAUAAUGUGCUUUUCCCACUUUGGAAUUUUGCGACUUCUAGAUGUUUUGGGUCUUAGAACUCCUUAUUUUCUGCUCUUUGUUUGGGCUUUUGCUCUCACACUUGCUCCUGCACAAUGCAAAUGUGCAUGCACGGGAAAAGGCAUAUGGAUGGGCACAUGUGCGAGCACGUCUGUGAUAUAAAUGUAAGCAUGCUUUCUUAGAAAUUUCAGUUCUCAUCUAUUCAAUCUGUAGAUCAUUCGCUCUUUUGAAACCCUAGGUUCCCUUUCACAUGGCAGUGCCUCUUGAAAUCCUCGGAGAUGUCUAUACUGACUUCUCUUCAA